UGUAUCGAAUCAAUUAUCGAUCGAUGUGGGAUAUCGAUUGGACUUAUAUUUUAAUUUACACAUACUUUCUUUUUUUAUGGAAAGUAAUUAUAAUUUAUGAAACAUAAUUUAAACAUGAAUUAAUAAUAAUUAGCCUUAUUAGUGCGAAAACGCAAAGUUCAAAAUGAUAUAUAUCGCAGAGGCACUCGACUUGACGCGUGAAGUUAGCGCCAGAAAUGAUCAUCUCUGGCUCGAGCCAACUUAAUAGAGUUGUCUGUGUCCCGUUCCGUUCCGGAAGGAAAGUGAACCCUUAUAAUAGUAUAUUUCUUUUCGGAACGGAACAGGGCACGGGACAUAUCAGCUCCCGAUCGAGUCUUCCUGGCAAAUCAUCUAAUCGGUAAAUAUGACACAUAUUUAUCUUGUACUGUGUUUCGUUCGAACGCGUAUUCCUCGUAGCGUAAAUCGCGACGCGUGGAGCGGUCGCGCGAUUGUAACAUGCGACAAUAAUUCCGUGCAAAAGCCGAUCGCGCGGGAAAGGUAACCCUUUCGCCAUUUUAACAGCUUUCUCUGUUUAUUUCACUCGCGGAAUCCGUGACAAUCAAUGGCAAUCCCGAGAUGUAUCGGCUCUGCGAUGUGUAAUUGGCAAUAAAUGAUGUUUACAUUAAUGCUAUAUUGUAAUAUUUUAACGGUCGAAAAAGUAUUUCGUCUAUUUCUUUCCGAAAAGUAACGGACGCCGAGACAGGUCAGCUCUCGAUCGAGUGACAUCGCAUCACUAAUAAUCGCUUCAUCGGUAAUUUAAUCUUGCAUUGUCCAAACUGUAUUCCUUAUUUAAACGUAAAUCGCGAUGCGUAGAACAGUCGCAUGCAACCGUAAACAUCCGAUAUUCCUAUAUCCGGGCGAAAGUCGAUUACGCGGGAAAAGUAUCUCCCUUUGUCAUCUUAAUUAACAGCGUUCUUUUUUUACUUGCAGAAUCCGUAACAAUUAUUCUGAGACGCAUUGGCCCUGGGGGCGGAUAUCGUUGUGACGUCCGAUUGAAUGCAACGAAUGUGGAACGACUCGCCGUUGCUAGAACAAGUGCUAUCGCAAAGUAUUUAAUCGAACGUGACGGAUGUAAAACGAUCCGGCGCUAUAUAGAACGGCAUCGCAAAUCAUCAUAAGUGGUAAGUGUAACGUACACAUCCCAGUAAGCAAGAAAUUAUUUAAGAUUUUGUAAAUCAUAAACUAAUAUUAAGAUUUUAUUUAAUUAUAACUUCAUCGUAGUUUAUUAUAAUAUUAAAAUAAUAUUAAUAUGUAUCAAAUUUGUUAAUUUCCUUUAUGAAUUGUGAUAAUGAUUUAUUUGAUGUUUUCAACAUCAUUUUAAUUUUAUACAUAUAGCUUUCAAAUAGAAGACAACUAAAUUUAUCCAGUGAACCAAAUUUUCUUUACAUCUUUUGUUAAAUGAAUGAGAUUAUGAACAUUAUGAAUUAUAAAUUCUUAUCCAUAUAAGUCACUAAAUUUUUUUACAAAAUAUUAUAAUAAUUCAUUUGCCUAAAUACAUUUUGUUAUUAAAUUGUCACAUAUUAGUAACCGAAUUGCGCAAUGUAAAAAUAGAAAAUGCAGAUAAUAAUGCUUUUUAAAAUAUGGUUUUAUCAUUCAUGGACCAUAAUGUAACAAGUUCUAAAUUUAAUCGCAUGGCAUCUGUCAUAUUCUGUUAUUAGUCUAGGUUUUCUUGCAAACUUAUGACGAGUUGAAUUGAAUAUUAAUUUUAGUUUUUUAUUAAUAGCAACGAUUUUUUUUAUUAGACAAGUUUCGUGAAUGCCUUUAAUGCCAAAAACUUAACAAACGUUUCAUAAUUUCUAAUAGUACAAAAUGCAUAGUUUAAAGGAAAAUUUGUGACAAGUCCAAUUUUUAAAUCACAUAAAAUAGACUUUUCUUUGUGAUAAUCUUCAUUAGUCCGAAAAUAAAAUUCAUUUGUUUGUAGUUCUGACUUUAAUUCUGGGAAAGUCAUUAAAUUGUUUAUAAACAGACUUUGGUUAAAUAAUUAAUACAGCUAUGAUAAGAGUUAAAAAUUUUUACACAUACAAAGGCAUCGCAAAGAAUCUUACUAAUGUUUACUUUUAAAACUCGAUUAUUUAAUUGCAAACAUUGUUUGAAAAAUUUACAUUUUUUAAAUGAAUUAAAAAAAAAUUAAAUUUCAAAAAGAUAUAAUAGUUUUUAAGCUUAUAUCCAUAACAAACAAUUGGGAAGAACCUGAGAAAAGCAAUUGGGAAGAACCUGAGUUGCUUUAAUUCACCAAUUUUAAUUAAAAUAAGCCAAAAUUGAAUGCCACUACUUUUUGUUAGAAGAAAUCCACAGGAAAAGAUUAUACGAAAAUUAAUGAACAAAAAAUUGCAUAUUUUUAUGCAUGAAUUUCUGCAGUUUUUACACAUUUUUGUACAAAGAUUUCGCCUUCAGAUUUUUUCUGCAGAAAAUUUUGCAGAAAUUUAUGUAACCUUUUCAGAAGGCAAGAAAUUUCAGAAAACUUUAUAUAUAAUUCUGCAAAAUAUUGUGCAGAAAAAUUCGGAAGGCGAAAACUAUGUACAAAAAUCUCUAAAAACCAAAGAGAUUCAUGCACAAAUAUGUACAAUUUUUGGUGCAAUAAUUCUUCCAUAAUUUUUCCUACAGAAAUCCAUCAAUAUUUAUUGAUAUGUUAACUCCAUUUCUUGAAAAAUUACUUUGAAUUAAUUGUAAUAAUAAAUUUGGCUUUAAUCUAAAGUGACGUGUUGCAUAGUUAUAACAAUUUUAGCGACAAUUAUUGAAAGUUCUUGUAUAAUUUUGUGCUCUAAUAUCGUUUCUAAACAAAGUUCUGGCGUUUAAACGUGUGCACAUAAUGCCCGAAAUCAGCACGAUACUCGAAUAAAAGUAUCGUGCUGGGUAGUUUUGACAUAUCUGGCGACAAUUCUCGGUAGUUCUCGUAUAGCACCGUGCUUCUAUAUUUUUUUAAACAGAGUUCUAUUGUUUAAAAUUGUGCACACAAUUUUAAAUGGCUGAAAUCAACAAGACACUCGAAUUUAACUGACGUACUGGAUAGUUUUGACAUAUCUGGCGACAAUUCUCGACAGUUCUCGUAUACUGCU